GAUGAGAUAACUAGGUCAAAUGGUGGUUCCAUUCCAAGUUUUUGGAGGAAUAUCCAUACUAUUUCCAGAGUGGUUGCACCAAUAUGCAAUCCUACCAGAAAU
rnacentral:pre_miRNA from 1 species